CCUACGGGAGGCUGCAGUGGGGAAUAUUGGGCAAUGGGCGCAAGCCUGACCCAGCAACGCCGCGUGAAGGAAGAAGGCUUUCGGGUUGUAAACUUCUUUUGUCAGGGACGAAGCAAGUGACGGUACCUGACGAAUAAGCCACGGCUAACUACUUGCCAGCAGCCGCGGUAAUACGUAGGUGGCAAGCGUUAUCCGGAUUUACUGGGUGUAAAGGGCGUGUAGGCGGGGGAGCAAGUCAGAUGUGAAAACCACGGGCUCAACCUGUGGCCUGCAUUUGAAACUGUUUUUCUUGAGUACUGGAGGGGCAGACGGAAUGCCUAGGGUAGCGGUGAAAUGCGUAGAGAUUAGGAGGAACACCAGUGGCGAAGGCGGUCUGCUGGACAGCAACUGACGCUGAGGCGCGAAAGCGUGGGGAGCAAACAGGAUGAGAUACCCCAGUAGUC
rnacentral:rRNA from 1 species